rnacentral:rRNA from 1 species
UUCGGGUGGGAGUGGCAGACGGGUGAGUAACACGUGGGAACGUACCCUUUGGUUCGGGACAACUCUGGGAAACUGGAGCUGAUACCGGAUACGCCCUUUUGGGGAAAGGUUUACUGCCGAAGGAUCGGCCCGCGUCUGAUUAGCUAGUUGGUGGGGUAACGGCCUACCAAGGCGACGAUCAGUAGCUGGUCUGAGAGGAUGAUCAGCCACACUGGGACUGAGACACGGCCCAGACUCCUACGGGAGGCAGCAGUGGGGAAUAUUGGACAAUGGGCGCAAGCCUGAUCCAGCCAUGCCGCGUGAGUGAUGAAGGCCUUAGGGUUGUAAAGCUCUUUUAUCCGGGACGAUAAUGACGGUACCGGAGGAAUAAGCCCCGGCUAACUUCGUGCCAGCAGCCGCGGUAAUACGAAGGGGGCUAGCGUUGCUCGGAAUCACUGGGCGUAAAGGGCGCGUAGGCGGCGUUUUAAGUCGGGGGUGAAAGCCUGUGGCUCAACCACAGAAUGGCCUUCGAUACUGGGACGCUUGAGUCUGGUAGAGGUUGGUGGAACUGCGAGUGUAGAGGUGAAAUUCGUAGAUAUUCGCAAGAACACCGGUGGCGAAGGCGGCCAACUGGACCGGCACUGACGCUGAG